GCAUGACUGAGACCAUGUAGAUAUAUUUGUUUUUCUUUACUGGGGCUACCGUUAAUUGUUAAAGUUAUCUGUGAAAGACUAUUAGUGUAUUCACUCUAUAAAUGUGAAUAUGUUAAGCAUUCUAUUAUAUAUUCACAGUCCUUUGUUGCUUUAGGUUAGCUGCACGGGUGUCUUUGAGUUAUGAUCAUAUUCGAAGCAUUAAUUCAGUGUUUGGAAGUUGGUGCUCUAAGUAUGGAUUUUUACCACUCGAGUCUCGGUCUAUAUUUUGGCCGUUAUAGUUUCUCUUGGAGUAAAAAGCACUUUGAUUGGCUUUAAGACACGUGCAUUAUGCUGAUUUAAGACACUAAAAGAGUAUUCGACUCAGUUUUAAUAAGUUUUAGUUGAUGAAGUCCAAGUUCAUGCAACUUAGGAUUAGAUUGCAUGGAAAAAAAUGUAUAAUAGAAAUUUAGGCGUGCAUGACUUGUGUUUUCUGUUUUAGCUUGUAAUUAGUAUGUAGGAUGGGAUAAAAGAUGGUUUUGAUGAGUUUGAAUUUCUGCCUUUUGGAUUGAAAUCCCUUCCGGUAGUUAGUAAUUCCUUUCAUGGGCUUGUUUUUUUGUAUGCCCCUUGUACAUUCCUUCAUUUUUUCUCAAUAAAAUCUUGGUUUCUGAUAAAGGAAGUUUGAAUUUAUGUAGUCGAAAUUUUAUAGUCUGUGAGAUCAGGAAUUCUAUUACCUAAGAUUACAGAAAUCUAACUUGUGGCCUAACGUUCCUCAGAGGGUUAUUGAUGGAUGGUGCUAUGAUUAUCGUUGAUAACCUUUUCUGUACAAAAGACUGGAUUGUCUUGCUACAAUGAAGUACUUUCUUAGCAUCAUUUGAUAGAUUGUUUCUCUGAAACAAGCAAUUUUAAAAGCAUGGUAGGUUAAAAUGAAUAUUUAGGCUUGAAAUGAAAUCCUCAUCUGCUUUACUGCAGCCUUUGUUGGCUACAUUUGUAACAUUUGUAACAUUUCAAGCUCACCGAUAGUAGAUAGUCCUCUUUGGGCUUUUCCUUCCAAGCUUCCCCACAAGGUUUUAGAAUGCGUCUGUUAGG